rnacentral:rRNA from 1 species
UACAGAGGGUGCGAGCGUUAAUCGGAAUUACUGGGCGUAAAGCGUGCGUAGACGGUAGCGUAAGUCAGAUGUGAAAGCCCCGGGCUCAACCUGGGAAUGGCAUUUGAGACUGCUCUGCUCGGGUGCGGAAGAGGGAAGCGGAAUUUCCGGUGUAGCGGUGAAAUGCGUAGAUAUCGGAAGGAACACCAGUGGCGAAAAGCGGCUUCCUGGUCCGACACCGACGUUCAGGCACGAAAAGCGUGGGGAGCAA